GUCUGUGAGAUGAGAAGAAGACAAAUCCUCUGAGAGGCGUUUAGUUUAAAGAAGAACAAGAACCUUAUGGAGAUGGAAUGUCAUGUCAUCAACUUCGAUUUCAAUGUCGCUAGAUUUCUCAGCAGAAGCCAUUAAUGGAGUGGAGGAGACAGCGGUGAGGAAAAGAAAGCUCUGAUCACUUACUGAGGCAGAAGAAACCAAAGAGCCAAUCUCUUUCUAAAGAAGGAAUAUGGAGAGAGAACAAGAGGGGUAAAGGAGGGGAAGGAAUCCUAAAUCAUGAGAAAGAGACACUUUAAAAAACAUUAUUCGGAUUUCGAAAAAGGGGAUCUCGUUUUUGAUCCAUCUUUUUAUUUUUUUCUUUUUCUUCUCUUUAGUUUUAGUAUUUAAUAAAAUUUUAAAUGCGAGUUUAGUUGGAGAACAGCAAGAAUCUCAACUACUGCUACUACUCUAGAGACGACACAUUUUCAGAUAAAUUACGCGUUGGGAGUAGCAAAAUCUCCACUCAUUUGUUAA